rnacentral:rRNA from 1 species
GAUGAACGCUGGCGGCGUGCCUAAUACAUGCAAGUCGAACGGACAGGCCCUGCUCUUGCGGGGCGCUCGAGUGGCGAACGCGUGAGUAUCACGUGUGUAACCCCUCCCUGUCUUUGUGAUAUCACCUCGAAACAGGGGCUCUUAUCCCAUAUGAGCUCUUGCUCCACGGUGGGCGUUGGUGAGAUUCGGCGGUUGGGGCUCGUCUCGCUGCUUAUCCGCUUGUUGGUGUGGUAGUCGCAUACAAAGCCUUCGACGGGUAGCCGGCCUGAGAGGGUGACCGGCGACAAUGGGACUGAGAGACGGCGCAGACGCGUACGGGAGGCAGCAGGGGGGAAUAUUGCACAGUGGGCGGGAGCCUGAUGCAACGGCGCCGCGUGCGGAAUGACGGCCUUCGGGUUGUAAACCGCUUUCGCCGGUGACGAGGCGUGAGUGACGGUAAUGAGUAAAGAAGCACCGGCUAACUACGUG